rnacentral:rRNA from 1 species
AUACGGAGGAUCCGAGCGUUGUCCGGAUUUAUUGGGUUUAAAGGGUGCGCAGGCGGGAGAUUAAGUCGGCGGUGAAAUUUUGCAGCUCAACUGUAAAAGUGCCUUCGAAACUGGUUUUCUUGAGUAUGGAUGAAGUAGGCGGAAUUUGUGGUGUAGCGGUGAAAUGCAUAGAUAUCACGAGGAACUCCGAUUGCGCAGGCAGCUUACUAAGCCAUAACUGACGCUCAUGCACGAAGGCGUGGGGAUCAAACAGGAUUAGAUACCCUGGUAGUCCACGCAGUAAACGAUGAUUACUCGCUGUUUGCGAUACAAUGUAAGCGGCUAAGCGAAAGCAUUAAGUAAUCCACCUGGGGAGUACGUUAGCAAGAAUGAAACUCAAAGGAAUUGA